AAAUUGAAGAGUUUGAUCAUGGCUCAGAUUGAACGCUGGCGGCAGGCCUAACACAUGCAAGUCGAACGGUAACAGGAAACAGCUUGCUGUUUCGCUGACGAGUGGCGGACGGGUGAGUAAUGUCUGGGAAACUGCCUGAUGGAGGGGGAUAACUACUGGAAACGGUAGCUAAUACCGCAUAACGUCGCAAGACUAAAGAGGGGGACCUUCGGGCCUCUUGCCAUCGGAUGUGCCCAGAUGGGAUUAGCUUGUUGGUGGGGUA
rnacentral:rRNA from 1 species